AUUGAACGCUGGCGGCAUGCCUUACACAUGCAAGUCGAACGGUAACAGGUCUUCGGAUGCUGACGAGUGGCGAACGGGUGAGUAAUACAUCGGAACGUGCCCAGACGUGGGGGAUAACGAGGCGAAAGCUUUGCUAAUACCGCAUACGAUCUAAGGAUGAAAGCAGGGGACCGCAAGGCCUUGUGCGGUUGGAGCGGCAGAUGGCAGAUUAGGUAGUUGGUGGGAUAAAAGCUUACCAAGCCGACGAUCUGUAGCUGGUCUGAGAGGACGACCAGCCACACUGGGACUGAGACACGGCCCAGACUCCUACGGGAGGCAGCAGUGGGGAAUUUUGGACAAUGGGCGAAAGCCUGAUCCAGCAAUGCCGCGUGCAGGAUGAAGGCCUUCGGGUUGUAAACUGCUUUUGUACGGAACGAAAAGGCUCUGGCUAAUACCUGGGGCACAUGACGGUACCGUAAGAAUAAGCACCGGCUAACUACGUG
rnacentral:rRNA from 1 species